UUACCACUGGUCGGUUUGCGGGCAGUCCGCUUUGUAGGAGCCGUGGUACAGAGACCUCCUUACUUACCCCCCUUCUCCUUCGGCUGGAGCUCGGCGAGCGAGAGGCGGCGCUGGCGUUGGAGAGCGACGGCGGCGCGGCGGCGCCUGCGAACACCAGGGAAGCAGCCUCUAACGUUUGAGGGUCAAUCCAGAUGGAGAGAAGAUAGAGGAGAAAGAGCCGAAUGUGACCCAACCAUAGGUCAUCUCUUGCAACAUGGCACAUGCUGAAUAUUUAGCCCAGCAUUAGGAAGACAUGGAUCCAAAAGUAUUGAAAAAAUGACCAGUGUGUGUAAAGGAGACUCCGAGAUUGACUACCAGACUUCUAGAAUGAUGUAACCAUACCUACAUAGAUUGGCUCAACAUAGGCAAGAGGAUCUACGUGUCAACUAAUCUGGACAGACCCCCUGCCCUCUUCAACAAAGUACUUCAUAUCUUGAAAACUUAACAGGAGAGUAACACCUUUGGAAACAUCUAUACACAGUAAUCAG
rnacentral:lncRNA from 10 species